UAAUUGCUCCCUCCGAUCCAUAUUAAUUGUCAAAAUAUUACAUGUAUCUAGACACUUUUUAGACAUAGAUGCAUCCAUAUUUGAGCAAAUUUGAGACAAUUAAUAUGGAUCGGAGGGAGUAGUAU
rfam:Brachypodium distachyon strain Bd21 chromosome 2, whole genome shotgun sequence.